rnacentral:rRNA from 1 species
UGAGGAAUAUUGGUCAAUGGCCGGAAGGCUGAACCAGCCAUGCCGCGUGAAGGUCAGUGCCCUAUGGGCGUUAAACUUCUUUUGUGCGGGAGCAAUAAUGGUCACGUGUGGCCAGACGAGAGUACCGUACGAAUAAGCAUCGGCUAACUCCGUG